rnacentral:tRNA from 1 species
GCUCGGAUACCCAAGUGGCUAAAGGGGCUCCCCUGCUAAGGGAGUAGGCCGAUAGCAUCGGUGCGAGGGUUCGAAUCCCUCUCCGAGCG